rnacentral:misc_RNA from 1 species
GAUGAAGAACGCAGCGAAAUGCGAUAAGUAAUGUGAAUUGCAGAAUCCAGUGAAUCAUCGAAUCUUUGAACGCACAUUGCGCCCGCCAGCAUUCUGGCGGGCAUGCCUGUUCGAGCGUCAUUUCAACCCUCGACCUCCCUUUGGGGAAGUCGGCGUUGGGGACCGGCAGCACACCGCCGGCCCUGAAAUGGAGUGGCGGCCCGUCCGCGGCGACCUCUGCGUAGUAAACCAACUCGCACCGGAACCCCGACGUGGCCACGCCGUAAAACACCCAACUUCUGAACGUUGACCUCGAAUCAGGUAGGACUACCCGCUGAACUUAAGCAUAUAAUAAGCGGAGGA